rnacentral:rRNA from 1 species
AUUGAACGCUGGCGGCAUGCUUUACACAUGCAAGUCGAACGGUAACAGGUUAAGCUGACGAGUGGCGAACGGGUGAGUAAUGCAUCGGAACGUGCCCGAUCGUGGGGGAUAACGCAGCGAAAGCUGCGCUAAUACCGCAUACGAUCUGAGGAUGAAAGCGGGGGACCGUAAGGCCUCGCGCGAUCGGAGCGGCCGAUGUCAGAUUAGGUAGUUGGUGGGGUAAAGGCUCACCAAGCCGACGAUCUGUAGCUGGUCUGAGAGGACGACCAGCCACACAGGGACUGAGACACGGCCCAGACUCCUACGGGAGGCAGCAGUGGGGAAUUUUGGACAAUGGGCGAAAGCCUGAUCCAGCAAUGCCGCGUGCAGGAAGAAGGCCUUCGGGUUGUAAACUGCUUUUGUAGGGCGCGAAAAGGCUCUCUCUAAUACAGGGGGCUCAUGACGGUACCGUAAGAAUAAGCACCGGCUAACUACGUGCCAGCCGCCGCGGUAA